GAUCCUGGCUCAGGAUGAACGCUAGCUACAGGCUUAACACAUGCAAGUCGAGGGGCGAGCAUGGUCUUAGCUUGUCUAAGGCCGGAUGGCGGACCGGCGCACGGGUGAGUAACACGUAUCCAACCUGCCGUCGUACUCUUGGACAGCCUUCUGAAAGGAAGAUUAAUACAAGAUGGCAUCAUGAGUCCGCAUGUUCACAUGAUUAAAGGUAUUCCGGUAGACGAUGGGGA
rnacentral:rRNA from 1 species